rnacentral:lncRNA from 1 species
UCAGGACACACUCUCUCUCACACCCUCCAUAGUUCCCACUGACCUCACCGCAAAGUCCACAGUAGAAACUCAGAGUCCUACUGAGGAGACACCUGCCCAGCUGUCAGCCUGCUUCCUCCACCUGCUCCCCCCACCUGCUCUAUCUCCUGCUGUCUACACUCGUUCCCCCCACCUGCUUGCUCACCUGCUGUCUACACCUGUUCCCCCACCUGCUGUCUCACCAGCUUCCUCCACCUGCUCCCCCAUCUGCUCUCUCACAUGCUUCCUCCACCUGCUCCCCCACUUGCUCUAUCACCUGCUGUCUACACCUGUUCCCCCUACCUGCUCACUCACCUACUUCCUCAACCUGCUCCCCCCACCUGCUCUAUCACCUGCUUCCUCCCCCUGCUCCCCCAACCUGCUCUCUCACCUACUGUCUACACCUGUUCUUUGCUCUGGCUGCCUCCACCCAUCCAGCUCCCCCACACCCUUAUUGGACACUGCCCGGCACUUCCCAGCUCCCUCACACAAUGCUGCCCGCCCCCCAGCUCACGUCCUGCUUUCUCGAUGGUCUUCCCAGAGGAGGUCCCACCUUCCCAGCCCCUACCUGCUCCUCAGGUCACCAUUUCCUGGAACCACCUUCCAUCCCCCAGAACUCGGCUGGGCCCUGCAGACAUGUACAUGCUACCAGGUGACGUGGCCACUCCUCCCGCAAAGCUUUUCCAGGUGUCUCUGUUUUUCUUGUUCUUCAGAAUGAUAAAAGUUCCCAGAUCCCAGGGACUUUUAGACUGCUCCCACCACAGAGCUGGCCAGCGCAGAGAAAUGCUAGGGGGUCUGGGUCCUGGGAAGCUCUGGGAUGAACAUGACUCCUGAGCACAGACACCCCCCUGACAGAGGUUCGUGCGUGUUCGGCUUCAUCCUCGGAACUUUACACUCACACUUGACUCACCCACUUUAUGUGUCUUUCUUUUUUUUUUUUUUUUUUUGGCCUGACUUUUAAAAAACCCAUCUGAGAAUAAAGUUUAAAAAGAGAGUUUCUGAAUCCUUAAC